rnacentral:rRNA from 1 species
GACGAACGCUGGCGGCGUGCUUAACACAUGCAAGUCGAACGGUGAACCUCUUCGGAGGGGAUCAGUGGCGAACGGGUGAGUAACACGUGGGCAACCUGCCCCCGGCUCUGGGAUAACUCCAAGAAAUUGGGGCUAAUACCGGAUGUUCACCGCUUCCCGCAUGGGUGGUGGUGGAAAGGGUUUCCGGCUGGGGAUGGGCCCGCGGCCUAUCAGCUUGUUGGUGGGGUAGUGGCCUACCAAGGCGACGACGGGUAGCCGGCCUGAGAGGGUGACCGGCCACACUGGGACUGAGACACGGCCCAGACUCCUACGGGAGGCAGCAGUGGGGAAUAGUGCGCAAUGGGCGGAAGCCUGACGCAGCGACGCCGCGUGGGGGAUGACGGCCUUCGGGUUGUAAACCGCUUUCGGCAGGGACGAAGCGCAAGUGACGGUACCUGCAGAAGAAGCACCGGCCAACUACGUG